GGUCGUCUGAACUAGUUGGCUUGGUGAUAGCACCACUGAUGAAGCCUAAUUUGUUCUUGGCUCUAAGGGCUCUACGCAUUGCCCUAGACCAAGUAGUGUAAUUGUCAACUGUAAGAAGUUCAGGAACAAGAGAGAUCGAUGGAUUAUCACCAUGGUCAAGACGGUAAGGAUUGGUGACAUCGGUGAAAUUGAGGAAGGGGUUAGAAAUUUUGGAUGGAGAAGCAGGGGAAGAAUCUGUGGAAGGAAUUUCUGUAGUCAUGGUUGAUUUGGUUCACCUGCUCUGAUACCAUAUAAGAAUUUAAAUAUGAAAGUUAGAGAAGAAAGAAAAUGAUAUAUGAACUUGGG
rnacentral:lncRNA from 1 species